rnacentral:rRNA from 1 species
GACGUAGGGGGCGAGCGUUGUCCGGAUUUAUUGGGCGUAAAGCGCGCGUAGGCGGCCGCGCAAGUCGGAUGUGAAAACCCGGGGCUCAACCCCGAGCCGUGCAUUCGAUACUGCGCGGCUCGAGACAGGUAGGGAGAGUCGGAAUUCCGAGUGUAGAGGUGAAAUUCGUAGAUAUUCGGAAGAACACCAGUGGCGAAGGCGGUGCUCUGGGCCGGAACUGACGCUGAGGAGCGAAAGCGUGGGGAGCAAACAGG